ACAAAGUUUCCGUGGGUGAACCUGCGGAAGGAUCAUUACCGGUUGCCCCCGGGGAAGCCUGCCGCUUGACUAACCGCGGGGCAGGGCUCUCCCCAGCCGGGCACUGAAAUCGAAAAAACCCAUAGCCGAGGGUCUCCCGCCCCUGGGGUCCGUCCGGCGCGUUGAUGGGUGCGGGGCGAGCUUCGAGAUCUCCCCUGCCAGCCCGGGCUUCCCGUCCAGGCGGGUCUCCCGAGGCGCGCGUGCGCCCGAGGUCGUCCGGCCCGGCGGCCCAAUGGGUCUCGCAGUGGUGUGCGGCCCCGGGCCUGGCGGCCCUUGCGGCGUGCCGGCUUCCGCCGCGUCCAACACCCUUAUCGUCUGGGCUCCGGAACCCGACCGUUCGAGCGGAACGCGCGCCCGCCCCCCCCCUCCGCCUUUCCGAACCAGCGCCGCGCCCCCGCUUGGCCCGCUCCGAGGGCUGACGCGCUCGCCGUGUCGGAGCGCGCGGUCACGGAUCGGCGGUGGGGUGUGGACGCGGCUCCCGUGUCCGAUCGCCCCCAUCCGGGCCCGAAACCUCGGAACCUCUACCUCCAGCGCGGUUGCGGCGGCUUCGCCCAGGCCGCCCUCCGCGCGCCUCCGGGUACCCAACUCGCCUCUCCCCUCCGGGGUUAGGAGGGGGGUUCAAUGUCUCCUCCCCCUGUCUGUCCCCCCGCCGCUCCCGGAGGGUGGCUUAGCGGGAUGGAGCGCCCGGGGGUUACCUGUCCAACCAUUGUCUAAAACCCCUGUACUCUCCGAACUUGCGUUCUUGCAAAACUAAGCAAAACUAAAACUUUGACAACUCUUAGCGGUGGAUCACUCGGCUCGUGCGUCGAUGAAGAACGCAGCUAGCUGCGAGAAGUAAUGUGAAUUGCAGGACACAUUGAUCAUCGAGACUUCGAACGCACCUUGCGGCCCCGGGUUGCUCCCGGGGCUACGCCUGUCUGAGGGUCGCUUUGACAUCAAUCGGAAAGGCAGCUCUCCGCGCGCCUUCCCGCGGCUGGGGCCGUCGCAGGCAUCCGUUGCCUUCUUCCCCCUAAGCGCGGACUGCUGGGGAGUCUCACGCCCCCCUCGGUUGCGGUUGAGGCGCGGCCUCUCCGGCCCCCCGCCCUACCGUCUUACCCGUUCGGAUCCAGUGCUCCCGUUCCUCUCUCCCUCCUGCUCCCGGGCAACCAACAACGCCCGGGGGAAGGGGCGCCCAGUCGGGCUCCGCAUGACUCGGGUGCGGCUGACGGUGGACAGACCCUGUCUCUCCGCGCUGCCCGCGUUACGCGUGCGUCCCGGUUCCGACGGGAACUCUGCGGCUCGGAGUCCGAGGUUCCGGGGUCGCCCUCUGUGUUUGGGCGGUCGCGGCGCACGGGGAACCCACCGGAUCGACGCGGCGCACCCCGCCUCCGGAGGCGUCACGGCCCCCCCAGGCCAUCCCGGAGCGCGUGAGCCCCCCCUUCCACUCGUGGGACGGGGG
rnacentral:rRNA from 1 species